rnacentral:lncRNA from 1 species
UGACUUCCCACAAGUGGGAUGGCAUUGCUAUAAUUGGCUUAGAGUAUCCAGGAACCUACCCUGGAGUUGGGGAUGGAGUUAGCUUUUCCUGAGUCACUUGGGGAACACUGAGCCAAAUCCCAGAUCUCUUAGCAAGAAACCUGAGCAAAAUCUCGUUAUCUUAGGAAGGAGGAAGCAGGAGAGUGGACGCUGGGAAGGGAACCAUUAGGGUAAACAACACCAUCUAAGAGAGAUUAGUCUCCCUCCUUUGCUUCCUUUCUUACCUGCCCUAACCUGGAUCUCCCAGGAUAAAGAACUAGGACCUUAUCUUAGCUUCAGUAAAAGGGCUGUUUUAUUAUGGUGGCCAAGAGAAAUGAGGGGGACUCCAGGAGACAAGGAGAGGCUUUGUAGAUAAACCCUUUCAAGGCUACAAAGUAAAAAGAGAAUCACUAGAGGAAAGUUCCUGAAUUUUUAGGCAGGAGAUUAGGUGGUAUCCUUGGUAACAAAUGAAUCAAGUGAAUUCUGCAGAACAGGGGAUGUUGAAUGUAGAAUCUGAGCAUUCCCACCCUUAGGUUUUUGUUUCUCACCAAGAGGCCAGAUCACCUCCCUGAGCCAGCUCUGCAGACAGGACCAACUUCAUGGGCAUGCGACCCAUGCAGACGGUCACCCAGGGCCUGUGCUCAGAAGGGCCAGCCCUUGAGUUUGACUUAAUGCUCUUUCGUCACCACUGGCAAUUUUUUUUUUUAUUGUACUUUAAGUUCUAGGGUACAUGUGCACAACGUGCAGGUUUGUUACAUAUGUAUACAUGUGUCAUGUUGGUGUGAUGCACCCAUUAACUCAUCAUUUACAUUAGUUAUAUCUCCUACUGCUUUCCCUCCCCCCUCCCCCCACCCCACGACAGGCCC